GAUGAACGCUAGCUACAGGCUUAACACAUGCAAGUCGAGGGGAAACGAUAUUGGAAGCUUGCUUCCGAUAGGCGUCGAUCGGCGCACGGGUGAGUAACGCGUAUCCAACCUGCCCAUCACUUGGGGAUAACCUUGCGAAAGUAAGACUAAUACCCAAUGACGUCUCUGGAAGACAUCUGAAGGAGAUUAAGGAUUUAUCGGUGAUGGAUGGGGAUGCGUGGGAUUAGCUUCUUGGCGGGGUAACGGCCCACCAAGGCGACGAUCAGUAGGGGUUCUGAGAGGAAGGUCCCCCACAUUGGAACUGAGACACGGUCCAAACUCCUACGGGAGGCAGCAGUGAGGAAUAUUGGUCAAUGGGCGAGAGCCUGAACCAGCCAAGUAGCGUGCAGGAAGACGGCCCUAUGGGUUGUAAACUGCUUUUAUAAGGGAAUAAAGUGGGAGUCGUGACUCCUUUUGCAUGUACCUUAUGAAUAAGGACCGGCUAAUUCCGUGCCAGCCGCCGCGGUAA
rnacentral:rRNA from 1 species